UCCGAGUUGACCCCGGCAGUCUCCCACGAGUGCCCGGCCGAACCGCUGGCAACAUGGGACAAGGGUUGCGCUCGUUGCGGGACUUAACCCAACAUCUCACGACACGAGCUGACGACAGCCAUGCAGCAUCUGUGGUGCACCCUCGAAGGUCACACGUUUCCGUGCGCUUGCAGCACCAUGUCAAGCCCAGGUAAGGUUCUUCGCGUAGCAUCGAAUUAAAGAACAUGCUCCGCUGCUUGUGCGGGCCCCCGUCAAUUCUUUUGAGUUUUAGCCUUGCGGCCGUACUCCCCAGGCGGGGCACUUAAUGCGUUAGCUUCGGCACGGAGGGAGUCGACACCCCCCACACCUAGUGCCCAUCGUUUACAGCGUGGACUAC
rnacentral:misc_RNA from 1 species